rnacentral:rRNA from 1 species
UACGAAGGGGACUAGCGUUGUUCGGAAUUACUGGGCGUAAAGCGCACGUAGGCGGAUUUGUUAGUCAGGGUGAAAUCCCGGGCUCAACCUCGGAACUGCCUUUGAUACUGCAAGUCUCGAGUCCGAUAGAGGUGGGUGGAAUUCCUAGUGUAGAGGUGAAAUUCGUAGAUAUUAGGAAGAACACCGGUGGCGAAGGCGGCCCACUGGAUCGGUACUGACGCUGAGGUGCGAAAGCGUGGGAGCAAACAGG